rnacentral:rRNA from 1 species
AUACGGAGGGUGCGAGCGCUAAUCGGAAUUACUGGGCGUAAAGCGUACGUAGGCGGUUUGCUAAGUCAGAUGUGAAAGCCCCGGGCUUAACCUGGGAACUGCAUUUGAUACUGGCAGACUAGAGUAUGAUAGAGGGGGGUAGAAUUCCUGGUGUAGCGGUGAAAUGCGUAGAUAUCAGGAGGAAUACCAGUGGCGAAGGCGGCCCCCUGGAUCAAUACUGACGCUGAGGUACGAAAGCGUGGGGAGCGAACAGGAUUAGAUACCCUAGUAGUCC